AUGGAAUGGUCACUGUGACUUUUGAGGUAAGUUUACUUUGGAAUACUUUCAGUGAAAACACUUUAAAGUUUAUACCAGAUGACUAUAAUUUUCAAAAUUAAGGUCCUUUGUAAAAUAAACACAACACUAAAAAAAGGUAAAUACUUUUGCUAUUUAUACAUUUCAUGGUUAAUGUAAAUACUUUCCUUGUUGCAUAUAUAUAAUAUAUAUUAUAUAUUAAUGUUUACAUGAAUAAAAUGUAUAAAUAAAAUAUAUAUAAUGUUUAAAUGAAUAAAAUGUAUCACUUUAAAUAUGGAGUUAUAAAUCACAAACUGGAAGAAUAAUGUUAUUUCUGUAAAUAUCAUAGAAUCUUAUAUAUAUAUAUAUGUAUGUAUAAAUAUGUGUAUACAUAUACACAUACACAUAUAUAUGUGUGUGUAUGUAUAUAUAUAUAUAUAUAUAUAUAUUAGUUAUUGAUGGACCUUUAUUUAAUUAAUUUAUUUAUUUAUGUAUGGUGCUGAAAGUUGAACCCAGUGCCUCACACAUACUAGGCAAGCGCUCUGCCACUGAGCCACAACCCCAGUCCUCAUAGAUUUUUUAUGAUGAACAUUUUCAAGUACAGAUUUUAAAAACAGCUGUGGAUUACUGAGUUUUGUAGAAAAUUAUUUUGUAUCUAGUUUCCCCCAAUUUUUCUCAACACACUUAAUGAUGGUAUUAAUAGCAGAUGCCUUGACCAUGUAGGAUCAUGGGCUCUACAAGAUGUGGCAUGAAUAAGAUAGGCAGAGGAUGAGAUGCAUUUCUUAAGUGCUAGCUAUAACCAUUGUUUACUGCAUAAUGACCAUCCUGUCACCACACUGCUCUUCUUCGAGGUUCAUAUUUAAAUUUUCAGCUCAUUUUUGUGUUUUAUCAUAUAUAAAAUAUGAUCAAGUAUGCUUUUUUCAAAACUUAGAGUACCAAUUGCUACCUUAAUUAUUAAUUGUAGAUACAGAAGAUACUUGGAUUGAUAUGUCACAAGUCUAUUGUAACAUAGAAAGGUUUUAUUUAUACUGAAGUGUGGCUACAUUAGAAGGUAGUCAUAUUUUACAUAAGAAUGUAAAAUAAGUAAGACAAUGUGAAAAACAUCAUAAACAGCAACUAAAUAUAUAGUAGUCUUGCAAGUUCUACAUGGGAAACCUUAAGCAAUUUUUCAUGUUCUUAGGAAUAUGCAUUUAGAUAAUAAUUUCAAAAAAACUAUUUCUAAUAAUAAAUAUGGGGAAAUUAGAAAAUAAUUGGCCAUAGAAAGGAUAUGAACUCUAAGUUAUGGUAUUUUCAGCUUAUCUAUGUAUGUCUAAAGUUAUUUGAUUGGAUCAUAACCUUUUGUUUUGUUUAAAUAAUUACGGGUAAUAUUUGUGGAACAAUUUUAUAUUUCCAUGUGCUGUUCUAAGUACCUUACACAGAUUAUCACUGCAUCUAAAAGCAGUCCUCCCCAGCACUUGGUCUCCCUCAGAUCUUCAUGUUCUUCUUUAUAGUAUUUGUCAGCAUCUAACACACAUCUAUUUGUUCACCAUUUGUUCUCUCCCAUUAUCUGUAAAGUCCACGUGCUUUGUCUACUAUUGUAUCCUUAGCCUCAAACAGAUCAGGCACAGAGUACUCAAUAAAUACUUUGUUAAAUGAAUGAUUUUAUUACAUCUUCAUAUCCAGCCUAUGAAAUGGAAAUUUUUAUGUCCAUUUUAAAGAUGAGGAAAAUGCUGCACAGGGUUAUUAAAUAAUUUGUCCAAAGUCACACUGCCAGUGGUGGGACGUUUCCUUCCAUUUCUUAAGGGAAUUUAUAAUCGUGAAUACCGUUCUGCCUGAGAAGAAAUAUAUAUAGAGUUCUCCCACAAUGUUUAAUAGAGUGGUUUAAAAAAAAGAUCUUAGGAAACACAUAAUUUAAUAUACUAUAGUGAAGGUGUGUAAUUACGUUGCAGACCCUGAUUGGUCACCAGAAAGGCAGAUACAUAGGUUUGUGUAAUUCUUGAUAAGCAUCUUUAAAUUUCAGAUUUUUGUUAACUGACAUCACAAUAAUGCUUUCUCAAUCUUAUGAAAUAUUUUGUUUUUUGAUGGCAUUGUCUAAUUCUUUGCAGGUAGAGGGUGGCCCAAAUUCCCCUGAAGAAGAUUUGAGUCCAGUUAGAGGAAAUAUCACCUUUCCCCUGGGGAGAGCAACAGUAAUCUAUAACUUGACAGUACUUGAUGAUGAGGUGGGACAAUUUUAAACAUUCAGAGGAGAGAAGGACUCUUGUCUGUGUAAUAAGAGAGCCUAUUCCAAGUGUUAAUUUUUGUUCAGUAUUUGAAAUUAUUUAGGAAUACAAUAUAAGAAUAUGUCUUUUGUAAAGUUUGUGUAUUGUGUUUGUGUUAGCUUUUUCAUUGCUAUGACAAAAUACCUAAGAGAAAAAUCUCAAAAGAGAAAAGAUUUCUUUUGGGUCAUGGUUUCAGAGGUUUCAGUCACUGUUGACUGGCUCCAUUGCUCACACCUGUGGUGAGGCAGAGCAUCAUGGUGGAAAGGGUAUGGGAGGAACAAAGCUGCUUACCUUGUGGCAGCCAGAGAGCAGAGAGAGAAGUCAGGGGUGGGGCGGGGAAGGACUGGGGACAUUCCCCAACACAUGCCCCCUGAGGCCUGACUCCCUUUACAUAGGUUCUACCUUCUACAGUUUCUUCCACUCCAGAUAGCCCAUUGAGCUGUGACUCCAAGGGAUUAAUCCAUUGAUGAGGUCAGAGCCUUCACAGUCACUUUCCAAAAGCCUCAUCUCUGAACCCUGCUGCACCGGGGCCCAAGAUUUUACAGGUCUAAUCCAUAAUAGCAGCCAAUCAUACUUAAGUAUGAACUCUUUACCAAUUGCCUUACUAACUUUUACAUUGCUAUAUGAAACAGGCUAUUUACCUUUGGAAAAUAGUUUAAUAAAUGGAGACUAUUUGCUCCCUUCAGUUACAGACUUUUUAAAAAUUUCUGAUUGAUUGUAUUGAAACAGUGACUUUUUAUACUUUGGUUUCUUUGCUGAUGUUUUGACUAUUGAUGUUUUGCUACUAUUAAUGUUCCUUUUCCAGGUACCAGAAAAUGAUGAAAUAUUUUUUAUUUACCUGACAAGUUUAGAAGGAGGAGCUGAGAUUAACACAUCUAGGAAUUCAGUUGAGAUUAUCAUCAAGAAAAAUGAUGCUCCCGUGAGAUUCAUUCAGAGUGUUUACUUGGUGCCUGAGGAAGACCACGUACUCAUAAUUCCAGUGGUUUGUGGAAAGGAUAACAAUGGAAAUCUGAUUGGAUCUGAUGAAUAUGAAGUUUCAAUCAGAUAUACAAUUAAAACUGGGAAUUCAACAGCACAUGCGCAGCAAAAUUUAGACUUCAUUGAUCUUCAGCCAAACACAACUAUUGUUUUCCCACCUUUAAUUCAUGAAUUCCACUUGAAAUUCCAAAUAGUUGAUGACACCAUACCAGAGAUUGCUGAAUCUUUUCAUAUUAUGUUGCUAAAGGACACCUUACAGGGAGAUGCUGUGCUAGUAGGCCCUUCUAUUGUUCAGGUUACCAUUAAGCCAAAUGACAAACCUUAUGGAGUCCUCUCAUUCAACAGCAUCUUGUUUGAAAGGCC
rnacentral:lncRNA from 1 species